rnacentral:rRNA from 1 species
UGGGGAAUUUUGCACAAUGGGGGAAACCCUGAUGCAGCGACGCCGCGUGAUUUAGAAGGCCUUCGGGUUGUAAAAAUCUUUUUUACGGGAUGAAAAUGACAGUACCAUAAGAAUAAGGUCCGGCUAAAUACGUGCCAGCAGCCGCGGUAAUACGUAUGGACCGAGCGUUGUCCGGAAUCAUUGGGCGUAAAGGGUACGUAGGCGGCCUAGUAAGUUAGAAGUGAAAUAAUAUAGCUCAACUAUAUAAAGCUUUUAAAACUGCUAGGCUUUAGAGAUGGAAGGGAAAGUGGACUUCCUAGUGUAGCGGUGAAAUGCGCAGAUAUUAGGAAGAAUACCGGUGGCGAAGGCGACUUUCUGGUCAUCAUCUGCCGCUGAGGUACGAAAGCGUGGGUAGCAAACAGG